UGCCAAGUUUAAGCUUUAAUCUUACCUUAGA
rnacentral:piRNA from 1 species